GACGAACGCUGGCGGCGUGCUUAACACAUGCAAGUCGAACGGAAAGGCCCUGCUUUUGUGGGGUGCUCGAGUGGCGAACGGGUGAGUAACACGUGAGUAACCUGCCCUUGACUUUGGGAUAACUUCAGGAAACUGGGGCUAAUACCGGAUAGGAGCUCCUGCUGCAUGGUGGGGGUUGGAAAGUUUCGGCGGUUGGGGAUGGACUCGCGGCUUAUCAGCUUGUUGGUGGGGUAGUGGCUUACCAAGGCUUUGACGGGUAGCCGGCCUGAGAGGGUGACCGGCCAAAUUGGGACUGAGAUACGGCCCCAAAUCCUACGGGGGGGAAGAGUGGGGAAUAAUGGAAAAUGGGCGGAAGCCCGAUGGAGGAACGGCGGGUGCGGGAUGAAGGCCCUCGGGUUGUAAAACGCUUUCGCCUGUGACGAAGCGGGGGUGAAGGUAAUGGGUAAAGAAGCAACGGCUAACUAAGUG
rnacentral:rRNA from 1 species